ensembl:lncRNA
GCUGCUUCAGGAAAUAUAUUGCCAGGGGAGCAUAAUUACUCUUUAUCAUAGUAAACUUAUAGAGCACCUCAUUUUCCUCUUAUUUGGUGUUCACAACACCAUCUAUUCAGCACAUUGGUGGGAUGAACCAGAAACAUUGACCACGUCAAUAAAACCUGAAAAUUUAACGACUGUGCUCUUAAUCUAGCUGGGCCUUUAACUAGUUUCCAGGAUGGUUGCUGAGUGGGCAAGACUGCUAUUAUUAUUAUUAUUAUCUUAACAACACGUGUGCUGACUUAUUUUUUUUCUUUACUUUGAAUUUAGGAGACUUAAAGUGAUAAUUACUGUCAGCUGAAAACUAUUGAAAAAUUGUGUAAUAUUGAGAAUUGUUUGGCUUUGCAAAUAUGACAUUUUCAAAAUUAAACAAGAAGGAUAAAAUUAAUGCCAAAGUUUUUUUUUCUUGCAUUCAAAAUUUGUGAUUAUAUUUAUUGAGUAGUAAUGAUUUGUUUAAUUCUGUACAACAAUUAAUUCUCAAGAUCCUUGCAAAACGUUUCGGUAUUAAACUGUAUAAGAAGCCAUGCAAAAGACAUUUGUUAUUUUCUUGUGUUUAGUCUUAGAAAAAGUAUAUUUGUCCUCAACAACUGGCAUGAACAAUUUUCUGGUACACACACACACACACACACACACACACACACACACACACACACACAUAUAUAUAUAUAUAUAUAUGUAUAUAUAUAUAUAUAUAUAUAUAUAUAUAUAUAUAUAUAUAUAUAUAUAUAUGAUGUAAGUUUGUUUGUUUUUUUUCCUUUUUUUUUACAUAAGCCUCAUUUGUUUUUUUGGAUUUUUUUUUGUAUAUCAACAGAAAAAGCCACGCCUUCUGUCAGUUGAUGUCUGUUAAUGACAGUUCCAGUAAAAUGCGAUGAGGUGAUGUCAUCAUGAACUCAGAAGCUCAAACAGAGACAUGAAGAUAAGCUGUAACUUGACUUGUUUGGUAAAGGUAUAAAACCUCAGGGCAGUAAUUCCAGUUUGAGAUGACAAAAUCUGAGAAUCAGUGACAUGCAUAUGAUGUCUGGCAAUUCUGCACUUCUUGCUAUGAUACAAACCACUGCUGCCAGCCUGGGGUAUAUGUUUGCUUUUAUUACACCAAAUAUUAUUUUAUUUCAUUUUUCAGGCAGAUUGGCCAUCAUUGUGAAAGCAGAGUUAGAAGAGAUGGGUAUACAUUUCCGUUGGAUUUCCGUUGGAUUUGGAUCCUAACACAGCGUCUGCUUCUGCCUUUACUCACCAUAAUCAGCUCAGCUCGCAAAACUUUGGUCUUGGCAAACAAAAGCUCGACCUGAUUAUUGUGCGUGCGAGGAGGAAAAUUAGAUCAUUUACCAAACAGUACAAAGCAUGUUAAUGAAAGAGAGUCACAGAAAUGUGAUUGCAGGCAGCGGGAACGUUAAAGUGAGCUCUAUCAUUUGCACUCCCAGCUGAGGUCGCACCUCCAAUAACGAAGCUGGCCAGUUUCCCCGGCAACCAGCCGGGAGGAAACAGUUGAGAGUAAUUCUGGUUAAAUGAAAACAGCUCAAAUGGCUCCUUGUCUUACCGUCUGUUUUUUCUUUAUGAGCCUCCCUCUCUCACUCAUCACAGAAGAAUCAGCCAUUUUAAAAGACGGUUAUUAUUGCAGAGAAGCACGACUUCUUAAAUGAAAACUCUACUCUUGCACAGAUAGUUGAAAUAUUUUCAACUAUUUUCAACAUUUUUUCUACACAAACUGCAUUUUUAAACAGUUUUCUUGACUUUUUUUUUUUUUAAUUAAAGUGACCUACUGUACUUUUCCUUAUUAUCUGCCAUAUAGAGUCUGUUAAAGUUG